rnacentral:lncRNA from 1 species
CGAGUUGGGCACUUUGAGAUGUUAAAACUACUUGAGUCUCAUUUUCUUAUGAAAGAGGAUUCUCAGACUGAUGAUGUUCAAGGUAGUGUAGUUGAUACAGAAUUUAAUCAAUUUGAAGCUGAUGCAAAUGUUGACACUCCUACAAGGGCAAUCAAAGACAGGAAACGUAAACGUAAGAAAGGUGAGAACAGGGGACGUCAGUCAAAUCUUGAUGAUUAUGCAAAUGCUGACACUCCUACAAGGGCAGUCAAAGACAGGAAACGCAAACGUAAGAAAGGUGAAAACAGGGGACCUCAGUCAAAUCUUGAUGAUUAUGCGGCUAUUGAUGUGCAUAACAUCAGCUUAAUUUAC